rnacentral:rRNA from 1 species
UACGUAGGGGGCAAGCGUUGUCCGGAUUUACUGGGCGUAAAGAGCUCGUAGGUGGUUUGUCGCGUUGUUCGUGAAAACUCACAGCUCAACUGUGGGCGUGCGGGCGAUACGGGGCAGACUAGAGUCAGGUAGGGGAGAACGGAAUUCCUGGUGUAGCGGUGAAAUGCGCAGAUAUCAGGAGGAACACCGGUGGCGAAGGCGGCCCUCUGGUCCAGUACUGACUCACUAGCGAAGACGUGGGGAGCAAACAGG